UACCUGCAGCUCAAGUGGUAGCCGCUAUUAUUGGGCCUAAAACGUUCGUAGCCGGUUUGAUAAAUGCCUGGGUAAAUCGUAUGGCUUAACCAUACGAAUUCCGGGUAGACUGUUAAACUUGAGACCCGGAGAAGUCGGAGGUACUCCUGGGGUAGAGGUGAAAUUCUGUAAUCCUAGGGGGACCACCAGUGGCGAAGGCGUCCGACUAGAACGGGUCUGACGGUGAGGGACGAAGCCCUGGGGCGCGAACCGGAUUAGAUACCCGGGUAGUCCAGGGUGUAAACGCUGCUUGCUUGAUGUUAGUUGGGCUCCGAGCCCAAUUAGUGUCGGAGAGAAGUUGUUAAGCAAGCUGCCUGGGAAGUACGGUCGCAAGACUGAAACUUAAAGGAAUUGGCGGGGAGCACAGCAACGGGUGGAGCGUGCGGUUU
rnacentral:rRNA from 1 species